rnacentral:rRNA from 1 species
GACGAACGCUGGCGGCGUGCUUAACACAUGCAAGUCGAACGGAAAGGCCCCUUUGGGGGUACUCGAGUGGCGAACGGGUGAGUAACACGUGAGUAACCUGCCCUUGACUUCGGGAUAACUUCAGGAAACUGGGGCUAAUACCGGAUAGGAAUCCUUGCUGCAUGGUGGGGGUUGGAAAGCUUCGGCGGGUUUGGAUGGACUCGCGGCUUAUCAGCUUGUUGGUGGGGUAGUGGGUUACCAAGGCUUUGACGGGUAGCCGGCCUGAGAGGGCGACCCGCCAACAUGGGGCCGAGGAGAGGGCCCAGCCUCCAACGGGAGGCAGCGGGGGGAAAUAUUGCACAAUGGGCGGAGGCCGGUGGAGGAAACCCGCGGGGCGGAAGACCGGCUUUCGGGUGGAAAACAGCUUUCAGAGGGGGCAAGCUUGUGGUGACGGUACCUGCAGAAGAAGCACCGGCUAACUACGUG